UCGGACUGUGAAUCAGCCUCUGGAGACGGCGACGGGAAGCUAGUGGCCGGCAUCCCCGGACGCAGCGGCGCUCAGGCAUCAUCAGAAGAAUGCGGCAAUGACAGAGUGGUCUUUGAGAUGGCCUCCUGUUGUUCUUCAGGGAAGUCAGGGCCUGUAGGGUGCAUCUCCAAAGCUGGACAAAAAACCUGAGGCCAUGAUUCCUUCAUGUGCCGGAGCCCCCAUUUGAGAGACAUGGAUAAAGCUGAGAGGUGCCAGUAAGUAUGGCCUCCAUAAUGUAUCAUCUGCUUGUAUCCUUAUUACUACUCUUUCCAGGCCUUUUGAUCCUCGGGGAUACCCAGUUUGGGUAACCAGCACUAAGAAAGGAGGAAUUACCAGGG